rnacentral:lncRNA from 1 species
GAGACAUUUGGAUGGAAGUAAAUGUAUGAAUGUUAAUUUAUGUAUGUAAAUUAGACACAUUUUUCUAGAUUCCGUGGGCUUUUAUUAAAAAUAGAGACUUUCUAGGGAUUUACUUAGGCCAUAGGAUGGCCAAAUCAAUAAUAAUGACAAUAAUAUUACUAAUCAUAGCUAACAUUUAUUGGGCACUUGCUGUGUACCAGGCACUAUUCUAUUUUUUUAAGGAUUUUUAUAACAGCUUUAUUGAGAUACACUUUACCAUGAAGUUCACCCUUUUAAAGUGUACCACUCAGUGUUUUUUAGUGUAUUUACGGAGUUGCACAACAUCACUGCUAUCUAAUUUUCAAACACCAUUAUUGCUUCACAAAGGAACCCCACAUCCAUGAGCAGUCACUCCCACUACCCAUUCACCUCAGCCCCUGUCAACCACCAAUCUGCUUUCUGUCUUUAUUGAUUUGGCUGGGCACUGUUCUUCAGUGCAUGGUGUGUCUCUUCUACUCCUAGACAUAAAGUGCUAGAGU